CGUGCGGCGGAAUGGCAGCACUUGACUGCUCCUGACUUGUGAUUCGUAAAUUGAACCAAAGGACAAAGAGGUGAGGCGACGAUGAGGUGGAGAGACACAAGGAGAGAAUUGAAAGCGCAGAACAGUAGCACACUUCUGUGGCUCAUCAUCGCCGCCUAUUCCCGCAUGGCAAUAUAUCUGUCAAAGCCCUCAUCACCAUCACAAGUUACUGUACGUGGAACUGCAAGUGCUGCACAUGGGGCUGCAGGCGGCUGGGAAAGAAGACAAGUGACACAAAGCAUCCGGCCCUAAGCUGACUCCAUUCACUCCAAUCUCGGGAUCAAGCAUCUUAAAUUUAACUUCAUGGUGGGUCAACUCAGGCCCCUGGCCAAACUUUGUGCAGCCCAGGUGAAGACACUCUCCAUGCAACCGAAACAGUUUGAUUUCUCCCAGGGACCUCUGCUCCAUGCCGUCUUGCUGACUCUUCCCUCAUUUCCCUCUCUGUCUCUGUACUGUUAAUGCAGUAAUACACUUUAAUAAAGAGAAAGCAA